rnacentral:rRNA from 1 species
GACAGAGGCCUCGAGCGUUAGGCGGAAUUACUGGGCGUAAAGCGUGCGCAGGCGGUGAUGUAAGACAGGUGUGAAAUCCCCGGGCUUAACCUGGGAACUGCAUUUGUGACUGCAUCGCUGGAGUGCGGCAGAGGGGGAUGGAAUUCCGCGUGUAGCAGUGAAAUGCGUAGAUAUGCGGAGGAACACCGAUGGCGAAGGCAAUCCCCUGGGCCUGCACUGACGCUCAUGCACGAAAGCGUGGGGAGCAAACAGG